GCAUCAGCGGUGCUGUGGGGGUCUCACUGACUGCCCCGACUCGCCUCUUCUUUCAGCAGUGACGUCACGACCGCGCCUAAAGGAUAUCAAAGGUGUGAUGUCAUCGUCUCGUGCAGCGCACGUACAGCUAAGAUUCGGCUUGGUUCAGCAGGAAGAGGGAUGACAUCAUAUGAUCUCAUGACUAAAACAGUUGAGCCCAGCACAGACCUGCAGAGACAUGACCUGCAGAGUGGGAGACAUGGACACACAUGGUGGGACUAAACACAUGUCAGGUAUUGCAUUUAGUGUAUUUAGUAUCAUUUAGCAUUUUAGCCACACGUCGUUUUAGUUUUAAUCUGCUGAGAGCCAGACUUUCACUUUUUGCUUUCUUGUCUUAACCAUCAUCACCUGCUCAUAACAAACUUGACGUCAUUGAAUUGGCAGAAGAUCAUAGAAGCAUCUUGUCCAAAUAGCUCUGAUGUCAUCACUGAUAAAAUGCAUGUUAUCUGCGGGCUAUUAUUCAGGAUUAGUUACACAUUCCAUUGUCUGUCAUUUGUGCAAUAUAACAAAUACGCAUGUACAAUAUACAUUCGACAUCUCAAUCCAUCAUAGCAACCUAGUUAUGGAAUUUCUGGGGAAUUUACAAUUUACUGGUAUUUUUACUAUUUCUACACUUGCUGUGGUAACAUGUCGUGACAUAUAACUCGCAUACGUCAGACACUUUGUCUGUUUUCGUAGACAUUAGGUUGCCAUGGCAAAAUACAAUACACACUUCCGUAUCCACAGUUGUGUCAGAAAAGCUUACUCAGCAUUAAAACAACAAAAAAAAAUCA